rnacentral:rRNA from 1 species
UACAGAGGUCUCAAGCGUUGUUCGGAUUCAUUGGGCGUAAAGGGUGCGUAGGCGGCGCGGUAAGUCGGAUGUGAAAUCUCGGAGCUUAACUUCGAAACUGCAUUCGAUACUGCCGUGCUUGAGGACUGGAGAGGAGAGUGGAAUUCCUGGUGUAGCGGUGAAAUGCGCAGAUAUCAGGAAGAACACCCGUGGCGAAGGCGGCUCUCUGGGACGGUACUGACGCUGAGACGCGAAAGCGUGGGGAGCGAACAGG